CAAAGACAAAUGACACCAGUCAUCCUAUACACUCCUAUAAAUCAUCCUAUACACUCAAUAUAUAGGCUACAAUCAGUUUAAAGUUCUAGAUAACUCGCAAAAGAACCAGAGGACAGGUUUUGUUCAAAUGAAAGUUCUCAAACAUGUGGUACAUAUUUACAUUUUUGACUAAAAACCCUAGUUGUUUUGUCUUUUCAAGCUAAAACAUGUCAUGUACCCAGGCAAACAGCAAAAACAAUCAGGAAAAACCCGUUCAACGACAUUAGCAUGAGUGAGCCAAGAUCAGCACAAGAUCACAAGAUCAGCAAGAAAAAGUGAGACAUGGGUUAUAAAGCACACGACAAUCCUCCUCACAGACAUAUGACACCUUCCUUUAAGUAAAAUGUGUAGAGUCUACAUGAAAAAUAUGAACAUUUCCUAUUAUUAUACUACAUUCCACUGACAUAAAACAAUACCCCUUUUUUAAUGUGCAUUCAGAUUUAGCAUGCUCUGACUACCUAACAGUUAACACUGAUACAAAAAAAAAAAAAACCACAAACAAAAAAACGAAACAAAGGGGUGGCGGGACGAUGGUGGCUCUCAUUACAUUUCAGUUACUUUGCUGAAGAAAGAUAAUCAGAUAAUGCCAACACUAUGUUGUAACAAACUGAACGGAAGAAAAUGUGUAGAUGACCUCAUCUAUUUUCAAAAGGAAAAAAAAGGCAGAGGCAGGGAAGUGCAGUGACAAAGGGUGCAAUAAAAAGAAGGUGAGAGCCAGUGAGAAAGAACAGCAUAUUUACUGCCGAACUUUGACUAAUAAGUCACUAAUUUUAGGACCGGCCAUAAUCCUUUCAUAGAAUGUCUUUCUAGGAGAUGAUCUGGGAAAAUUUUGCUGGUAAUUUAACAGACAGGUCGGAUCAGUGCGUCCCAUCCUUACCUAAUGCAAGCUAAAGAAAAUGACUAGAAUGUUUGCCAUACACUAGCACAGCUAGAUAAUUAAAAAAAAAAAAAAAAAAACAGCCAAAAAAAAAACAAAACAGAACUAGACAUUUUUACCACUAGCUUCUUACUGAUUAUAGAAAUAAAUGUGUAUGAAACAUGCACGAACAAUUCAUGUUUAAUAUCUAUUAAAAUAUCUUCAUGGAUUUUGUGUUUCAUUUUCAUGUUCGACUAAUGUAAGCUAUAUUGCUCCAUAAGCCCUUUGGGCUGGUCCCUCUAACACUUUCUGUUUCUAUUUCUCAUUUUCUCUUGCAUAUAAAGCUAUACAUUUAUGCUUUCACUUUCUAUACUGGAUGACUGCUUACACAUCACAAGGUCCAUGAUGGUACUCUGUGUUGCGUGAAUAUACCCUGGAUUUGUCAUCAAGCAACAAGAAGCCAAACGACUCCUUGAGUUCCUCUUCAGAGUACCCAUUUUCACGUUUUUCAGCACGAAAUGCAGAAUACUGUGAGAAACGUGACACACACACACACACAAAAAUCAGUCUGGAUAAAUUUGUUCUGAAAAAUUGUGCAAUUAAAGACGACUGAUGACACACAGAGCAAAAACUAAAAUUCACAUGUCUACUUACUCUUUGUUGUAGAGCUGCAUUAUUGAUCAACUGUGCUGAAUUGUAGGUAAAAGACUCUUUGGACUCUUCAUACAAAUAGCUGUUACGAAGAGGAGCUAAAAUACUGCUUUCAAAGGUUACUGAGCCAGGAAGCACUGG